GGAGAGAUGGCUGAGUGGACUAAAGCGGC
rnacentral:ncRNA from 7 species